rfam:Gasterosteus aculeatus cont1.009862, whole genome shotgun sequence.
CUAGGCUACGGGGACAUGUACCCUGAAACAUGGUCAGGAAUGCUUGUCGGUGCCCUCUGCGCCUUGGCCGGUGUGCUGACCAUCGCCAUGCCGGUGCCCGUCAUUGUCAACAAC